CCUACGGGGGGCAGCAGUGAGGAAUAUUGGUCAGUGGACGAGAGUCUGAACCAGCCAAGUAGCGUGAAGGAUGACUGCCCUAUGGGUUGUAAACUUCUUUUAUAUGGGAAUAAAGUUUUCCACGUGUGGAAUUUUGUAUGUACCAUAUGAAUAAGGAUCGGCUAACUCCGUGCCAGCAGCCGCGGUAAUACGGAGGAUCCGAGCGUUAUCCGGAUUUAUUGGGUUUAAAGGGAGCGUAGGGGGAUUGUUAAGUCAGUUGUGAAAGUUUGCGGCUCAACCGGAAAAUUGCAGUUGAAGCUGGCAGG
rnacentral:rRNA from 1 species